rnacentral:lncRNA from 1 species
GCAAUUCCAUUUCCUCCAUAAAACAAAACAAUGUCCUUGUCUCUUUUCUUCCUUCUCAUUCUCAUUUUCUCUUCUUCCACUUCCUCAAGCACCACCAUAAUCCUCCAAGGCAAUACCACUCUCAAGAGCCCCAACAACACCUUCCAAUUGGGCCUCUUCUCCUUCUCCUUUUCCUUCUACCUCGCCAUCCGCCACACCUCCCUCCCCUUCCCCAACACCACCUGGGUCGCCAACCGCCUCCACCCUUCCCCAACCCAAACCGGUUCAAUCCUCCACUUAACCCAAACCGGUUCAUUGAUCCUAACCCACUCCAACACCACUCUCUGGAGCACCGCCCCCACCUUCAACACCUCAUCAAACCUCUCCCUCAAGCUUCUCGACUCCGGUAACCUAAUCCUCUCUGCCCCCAACGGCCUCGUUCUAUGGCAGAGCUUCGAUUCCCCCACCGACACGUGGCUCCCCGGCAU